rnacentral:rRNA from 1 species
AUUGAACGCUGGCGGCAGGCCUAACACAUGCAAGUCGAACGAGUGGCGGACGGGUGAGUAAUCUCUGGGAAACUGCCUGAGGGAGGGGGAUAACUACUGGACACGGGAUCUAAUCCCGCAUACCAUCGGAUGUGCCCAGAGGGGAUUAGCGAGUAGGUGGGGUAACGGCUCACCUAGGCGACGAUCCCUAGCUGGUCUGAGGGGAUGACCAGCCACACUGGAACUGAGACACGGUCCAUACUCCGUCGGGAGGCAGCAGUGGGGAAUAUUGCACAAUGGGCGCAAGCCUGAUGCAGCCAUGCCGCGUGUAUGAAGAAGGCCUUCGGGUUGUAAAGUACUUUCAGCGGGGAGGCGUUACCCGCAGAAGAAGCACCGGCUAACUCCGUGCCAGCAGCCGCGGUAAUAC